rnacentral:lncRNA from 1 species
CCUCUUCUAUCAUUUCGGUGAUGUGAAGCCUUCCCUCCAUUAUCUUUGUACGACCUCGUGGCUUCUUUUGCUUCAUCGAUCUAGAGGUAUAAAAGUUCAAGAUUCGUUAAUUUGUAUAUAGUAAUAAUGAAUAUGAAGUUAUAGAUGGGGUAAAAUAAUAAAAAUGAUAUACACCUCGCCGGAACCUUCCAUCACAGCAAUGUCUUGUUCCCCAUUAUCAUCAACGUCGUGCUCG